AAAAGCAUAUAGAAACGGAAAAAAGAGAGAAUGAUUCCUUCAUUGUAUGCCCACAACCAUCAACAACAGAUAAGGAAACAAUGACAUCGAUACAACCA